UGUAUGCGUUGCAAAUAUUUUCUUCUGGUC
rnacentral:piRNA from 1 species